AUGAGAAUGAGUGAAGAUGAGAGGGAGGAGUAACAAAAGUGAAAACAAAAACCAAAAACUGAAAUUUAUUUGAAAUUGUCUUCAAUAUCAAGUUUUUAUUUUCACUUUUGUUACUCAUUCCUCUCAUCCUACCCUCACAUCCUC
rnacentral:miRNA from 1 species